ACUGUGGGGUGUGGGUUACCAACUUCUCACGUCCUCAUCAGUGAGCCAUGGAAAGGCUUAGUGAUAACCGAGCUGUUGCUUUUCUUCUUUGGUCUGUUGGUAUCUCCAACCCCGUUAUGCCUGUGACGGCCCACUUGGAAAUGGAGGCAGACAAACUUACCACCAUCUCUCUAACCAAGCAGAGUGCCCAGCAACCGAAGCAGGCGUUCUGAAAACCCCACUUCCCACCUCUGCCAGUGCAGAGGUCGCUGUGAAGGUCAGUGAUGACUCGGCCCCUAAUCCUGAGUCCUAGUCCCUUCCUGCCCUGCUGACCGACUGGAGGCCAUCUCAUGGCUCAUGAUUCCUCACGAACCCAAUCCCAGUGCCAGAGUCAGAGCUUCACAGGCUCAUGGCCUCUGUGUGCCAGAACAGAUUCAGCUUGGAAGCAGGCCAGUUGCUUACAGCUCCAAAAUGGCUUGGCAAAGCGUCUGAGACACGGCCUGUGGUCUGUGCUGGGUGAAAACUCGCCCACAUUUGUUAGCGAUUAACUGAUCUGCAGAUGGAGCUCAGUACACCUCCGUGACCCACAGAUAAACCAGCUCACUCCUAACAAGAGAGGCAGCUCGGGACUGUUCCAGCUCGGGGCUGUUCCAGCUCGGGGUCUCUCCAGCACAAGGCUGCUCCAGCUCAGGGUCCCUCCAGCACAGGGCUGCUCCAGCUCAGGGUCCCUCCAGCACAGGGCUGCUCCAGCUCAGGGCUGCUCCAGCUCAGGGCUGCUCCAGUUCAGAGUCUCUCCAGCUCAGGGCUGCUCCAGCUCAGAGUUAUUGGGAGGAAAUAUCACCAGAGAAAGAAAGGAGCCUAGAGCGUGAAAGCAGGGUGUGAGGCAAGUCCCAGGAAGUUCUGGGGAGGCCAAUGGUCAUGUGUUGCUUCUGGAGUCUGUGGCUCUCCUGUAGCCCUCUUCUUGUGGGAAAGAUGGGGAAGGAGAGGAAGUGAAGGGGGUUCUGGAAGUUGGGGGGUCUUUCAAACCUUAGGCAGCAGUGGGUGUGUGCUUAAGCUCAGGGCAAAUAAAUAUGGAUGAGAAGUAGACAUAAGGUUGAAUUUCACUCUUCAGAUGAAGUGCAUCUGGACUCUUGUGGGCAAAGAACCCAAAGAUUAAAGCUGCCAGGCCAGCCACAGGCCAUGACCACCUAGUUUAACAAGGGCAAAGGGUGGCAGUCACAGGUAGUUACACAUCUGAGUGACAUUCACGGAAGAUACACCUUAAGGGACCAAGGCUUCCUCUGGGUUCACAUGGUGACAAAGCGCCCUUUCUCAUGGUGGGAAAGGCAUUCAUGGCAGAGUCCCCUGUGACUCCCCACUGUGGCUGCCGGAAUCUCCCACUGCUUGCUUAGAUCCUAGAGCACUGGUUUUCAAUCUAUGGGUUGUGACCCCUUUGGGACUCACAUAUC
rnacentral:lncRNA from 1 species